AAAACCGACAGAGAGAAGGACAACGCGAAGGAGCAAUCCGACGCUGCUUCUCUUUUCGAGCGCACAAGUCCGCCGUGGCUGCGCGUGGGUUCGAGUGCGCGCUCGAGAGCCUAUGUGUCGUCGAGGACGGAGAGAGAUAUAUACGCCUUCACGGGUCAUGUGUGUCUCUCUUAAGCAACCCUCGGCUUCGCCUCUAGGCGCGAGUGCUCGCGCGAGAGUCCUUGCGCGUAGACAAACGUUGUUUCUUCUUAGAGGUAUUGACGACUCUACGUAAGUCGUACGAGACAGAGAGCAAUAACAGGUCUGUGAUGCCCUUAGAUGCCCUGGGCCGCACGCGAGCUACAAUGCCGGGUACAGCGGGUGUACCGUCCUUCUCCGAGAGGAGCGGGUAACCCUCUGAAAGCCCUUCUGAUGUACGGGGCGCGUGCGCUCGCGGCCUAGUCCGCGCUUGUGCGUGUGUCGGAACAUCGCGGCUCGA
rnacentral:rRNA from 1 species